UUUUCAGCAAUAUCAUUUUCGAUGAACAAAGUUGCUAAGUUUGUCAACUUAGAUUGAGAUAUAGUAGAUCUUUUAAAAAAUAGGGGCUGUUGAAUGCAACGAAAUAAAUAAUGCCAAAGAUACAAAUGAUUUUGGCGGUUAGCAUCUUGAUGCAAAAUGCCCAAAUAGUGCACACAGUUAUUUAUCACAGUUAAUUAUUGGUUAAUAAAAAACGUUGGAAUUUCACCCGAUUCAAUUUAUUUGAUGAUUCAACUGGUUCAGAAUAAUUUAUUUAAAAGAAAUAUAUAAUUUUAUUUUA
rnacentral:lncRNA from 1 species